AUUGAACGCUGGCGGCAGGCCUAAUACAUGCAAGUCGAGCGAGCGGCGGAGGGGUGCGUACUGUCUGGGAAACUGCCUGUUGGAGGGGGAUAACUACUGGAAACGGUAGCUAAUACGGCAUACCAUCCGCUGUGCCCAGAUGGGAUUAGCUGGUCGGUGGGGUAACGGCUCACCUAGGCGACGAUCCCUAGCUGAUCUGAGAGGGUGACCAGCCACACUGGGACUGAGACACGGUCCAGACUCCUACGGGAGGCAGCAGUGGGGAAUAUUGCACAAUGGGCGCAAGCCUGAUUCAGCCAUGCCGCGUGUGUGAAGAAGGCCUUCGGGUUGUAAAGCACUUUCAGUGGGGAGGCGUUACCCACAGAAGAAGCACCGGCUAACUCCGUGCCAGCAGCCGCGGUAAUUC
rnacentral:rRNA from 1 species